rnacentral:rRNA from 1 species
UACGGAGGGAGCUAGCGUUGUUCGGAAUUACUGGGCGUAAAGCGCACGUAGGCGGCUUUGUAAGUUAGAGGUGAAAGCCCGGAGCUCAACUCCGGAACUGCCUUUAAGACUGCAUCGCUUGAAUCAUGGAGAGGUCAGUGGAAUUCCGAGUGUAGAGGUGAAAUUCGUAGAUAUUCGGAAGAACACCAGUGGCGAAGGCGACUGACUGGACAUGUAUUGACGCUGAGGUGCGAAAGCGUGGGGAGCAAACAGG